AAAUGCGAUAAGUAAUGUGAAUUGCAGAAUUCAGUGAAUCAUCGAAUCUUUGAACGCACCUUGCGCUCCUUGGUAUUCCUUGGAGCAUGCCUGUUUGAGUAUCAUGAAAUCGUCAAAGUAAAUCUUUUGUUAACUCAAUUGGUUUCUACUUUGGUAUUGGAGGUCUUUGCAGCUUCACACCUGCUCCUCUUUGUUCAUUAGCUGGAUCUCAGUGUUAUGCUUGGUUCCACUCGGCGUGAUAAGUUAUCUAUCGCUGAGGACACUGUAAAAGGUGGCCAAGGUAAAUGCAGAUGAACCGCUUCUAAUAGUCCAUUGACUUGGACAAUACUUUUAUGAUCUGAUCUCAAAUCAGGUAGGACUACCCGCUGAACUUAAGC
rnacentral:misc_RNA from 1 species